rnacentral:rRNA from 1 species
GUCUAUGGCCAUGCUACCCUGAACAAGCCCGAUCCUGUCUGAUUUCGGAAGCUAAGGGUCAGGCCUGGUUAGUACGUGGAUAGGAGACCACCUAGGAAGACCACGUGCUGCUGUAG